GAUGAAGAACGUAGCAAAAUGCGAUAAGUAAUGUGAAUUGCAGAAUUCAGUGAAUCAUCGAAUCUUUGAACGCACAUUGCGCCCGCCAGUAUUCUGGCGGGCAUGCCUGUUCGAGCGUCAUUUCAACCCUCAAGCACAGCUUGGUGUUGGGACUCGCGUUAAUUCGCGUUCCCCAAAUUGAUUGGUGGUCACGUCGAGCUUCCAUAGCGUAGUAGUAAAACCCUCGUUACUGGUAAUCGUCGCGGCCACGCCGUUAAACCCCAACUUCUGAAUGUUGACCUCGGAUCAGGUAGGAAUACCCGCUGAACUUAAGCAUAUCAAUAAGCGGAGGA
rnacentral:misc_RNA from 1 species